rnacentral:rRNA from 1 species
AACGAACGCUGGCGGCAGGCUUAACACAUGCAAGUCGAACGCACCGCAAGGUGAGUGGCAGACGGGUGAGUAACGCGUGGGAACCUACCUAUCGGUUCGGAAUAACUCGGGGAAACUCGAGCUAAUACCGGAUACGCCCUUUGGGGGAAAGAUUUAUCGCCGAAUGAUGGGCCCGCGUUGGAUUAGCUAGUUGGUGAGGUAAUGGCUCACCAAGGCGACGAUCCAUAGCUGGUCUGAGAGGAUGAUCAGCCACACUGGGACUGAGACACGGCCCAGACUCCUACGGGAGGCAGCAGUGGGGAAUAUUGGACAAUGGGCGAAAGCCUGAUCCAGCCAUGCCGCGUGAGUGAUGAAGGCCUUAGGAUUGUAAAGCUCUUUUGCCAGGGACGAUAAUGACGGUACCCGCAGAAUAAGCCCCGGCAAACUUCGUGCCAGCAGCCGCAGUAAA